AGAGUUUGAUCAUGGCUCAGAUUGAACGCUGGCGGCACGCUUAACACAUGCAAGUCGAGCGGCAGCACGGUAAGUAGCAAUACUUAUGGGUGGCGAGCGGCGUACGGGUGAGUAAAGCACAGGAAUCUGGCCUGAAGAGGGGGACAACUCGGGGAAACUCGAGCUAAUACCGCAUAAACUCUAAGGAGCAAAGUGAGGCGCAAGCCCCACGCUUUGGGAUGAGCCUGUGUCCGAUUAGCUAGUUGGUGAGGUAAAUGCUUACCAAGGUAAUGAUCGGUAGCUGGUCUGAGAGGACGGACAGCCACACUGGGACUGAGACACGGCCCAGACUCCUACGGGAGGCAGCAGUGGGGAAUAUUGGACAAUGGGGGCAACCCUGAUCCAGCGAUGCCGCGUGUGUGAAGAAGGCCUGCGGGUUGUAAAGCACUUUGAGUGGGGAAGAGUGGAGAGCGGUGAAUAGCCGACUUUUUUGACGUUACCCACAGAACAAGCACCGGCUAACUCUGUGCCAGCAGCCGCGGUAAUACAGAGGGUGCGAGCGUUAAUCGGAAUUACUGGGCGUAAAGGGCGCGUAGGCGGUUUACUAAGUUGACUGUGAAAGACGAGGGCUUAACCCUUGGGAGUCAGUCAAGACUAGUAGACUGGAGUAGGAGAGAGGUGAGUGGAAUUUCCGGUGUAGCAGUGAAAUGCGUAGAUAUCGGAAAGAACAUCAGUGGCGAAGGCGGCUCACUGGCUCCAUACUGACGCUGAGGCGCGAAAGCGUGGGGAGCAAACAGGAUUAGAUACCCUAGUAGUCC
rnacentral:rRNA from 1 species